GGUUGGCUCAGAAGCAGCCAUCCUUUAAAGAGUGCGUAACAGCUCACUAGUCGAGUGACCCUGCGCCGAAAAUGUACCGGGGCUAAGCCUGAUACCGAAACUGCGGAUUGUAGGAAACUAUAGUGGUAGGGGAGCGUUGUAUACGAGCAGAAGCCGUACCGUGAGGAGCGGUGGAUUGUAUAGAAGUGAGAAUGCCGGUGUGAGUAGCGAGAUGUAGGUGAGAAUCCUACACACCGAAAGCCCAAGGAUUCCAGGGGAAGGUUCGUCCGCCCUGGGUAAGUCGGGACCUAACGCGAGGCCGAAAGGCGUAGUGGAUGGAAAGCAGGCGAAAGAUUCCUGCACCCGUAUAUGGAGCGAAGGAGUGACGGAGACGGAUAGUGUGACCCUCUUAAUGGAUUGAGGGCGAAGCGAAGCGGCUGGUUACCAGGCAAAUCCGGUAACCUUAAGGCUAGAGCGUGACAGGUAAGCGAAAUCUUAGGAAAGUAGCGAAGCACAUGAUGACGGCUUCCAGGAAAAGCUUCUGGCAAUGCAUAUGCGGCCCGUACCAAAACCGACACAGGUGGGCAGGGAGAGAAUCCCGAGGUGAGCGAGAGAACUGUUGCCAAGGAACUCGGCAAAAUGACUCCGUAAGUUAGCGAGAAGGAGUGCUUAAGCAAUUAAGCCGCAGUGAAGAGGCCCAAGCGACUGUUUAACUAAAACACAGCUCUCUGCGAAGUCGCAAGACGAAGUAUAGGGGGUGACACCUGCCCGGUGCUGGAAGGUUAAGAGGAUCUGUUAAGAGCGAUCUGAAGCAGUGAUCCGAAGCCCCAGUGAACGGCGGCCGUAACUAUAACGGUCCUAAGGUAGCGAAAUUCCUUGUCAGGUAAGUUCUGACCCGCACGAAAGGUGUAACGAUUUGGGCGCUGUCUCGGCAGCAGACUCGGUGAAAUCUUAGUACCUGUGAAAAUGCAGGUUACCCGCAACUAGACGGAAAGACCCCAUGGAGCUUUACUGCAGCCUGAUAUUGAAUUCUGGUCAUACAUGUACAGGAUAGGUGGGAGACAAAGAGACGUGCACGCCAGUGUACGAGGAGUCGACGUUGGGAUACCACUCUUGUGUGACCGGGGUUCUAACCUGGUAUCGAGAACAGGUACGGGGAGAGUGUCAGGUGGGCAGUUUGACUGGGGCGGUCGCCUCCCAAAGAGUAACGGAGGCGCCCAAAGGUACGCUCAGAUUGGAUGGAAACCAAUCGACGAGUGCAAUUGCAGAAGCGUGCUUGACUGUGAGACAGACAAGUCGAACAGGGACGAAAGUCGGGAAUAGUGAUCCGGCGGUGCCGAAUGGAAGGGCCGUCGCUCAACGGAUAAAAGCUACCCUGGGGAUAACAGGCUGAUCUCGCCCAAGAGUUCACAUCGACGGCGAGGUUUGGCACCUCGAUGUCGGCUCAUCGCAUCCUGGAGCUGGAUUCGGUUCCAAGGGUUGGGCUGUCCGCCCAUUAAAGCGGUACGCGAGCUGGGUUCAGAACGUCGUGAGACAGUUCGGUCCCUAUCUGUUGUGGGCGAAGGAGAUCUGCGGAGAGCUGUCCUCAGUACGAGAGGACCGGGAUGGACCUACCGCUGGUGCACCGGUUGUUCCGCCAGGGGCAUAGCCGGGUAGCUAAGUAGGGAAAGGAUAAGCGCUGAAAGCAUCUAAGCACGAAGCCUACUCCAAGAUGAGAUCUCCCAUUCG
rnacentral:rRNA from 1 species